GCCUUCGUGGUGUAAUGGUCAGCACACUGAGCUGUAAUUCAGAGGUCCGUGGUUCGAUCCCCGGCGAAGGCA
rnacentral:tRNA from 1 species